rnacentral:rRNA from 1 species
UACGUAGGGUGCAAGCGUUGUCCGGAAUUAUUGGGCGUAAAGAGCUCGUAGGCGGUUUGUCGCGUCUGCUGUGAAAACCCCGAGGCUCAACCUCGGGCCUGCAGUGGGUACGGGCAAACUAGAGUGCGGUAGGGGAGAUUGGAAUUCCUGGUGUAGCGGUGGAAUACGCAGAUAUCAGGAGGAACACCGAUGGCGAAGGCAGAUCUCUGGGCCGUAACUGACGCUGAGGAGCGAAAGCAUGGGGAGCGAACAGG